CGAAAUUUCCGGUUCGCCGGAGAUUAGUGGCGGACAGGGUUAGUAAUACAUGGGUAACGUACCUUUAACUUGGGAAUAACGGUUGGAAACGAUCGCUAAUACCGAAUGUGAUGGCGCAAGGCAGCUUGCGUAUAUUAAAGUGGGGGAUCGCAAGACCUCGCGGUUAGAGAGCGGCCCAUGGGAUAUCAGCUAGUUGGUGAGGUAAAGGCUCACCAAGGCU
rnacentral:rRNA from 1 species